CGGACGGGUGAGUAACGCGUGGAAAACCUGCCGUAUACUGGGGGAUAACACUUAGAAAUAGGUGCUAAUACCGCAUAAGCGCACAGCUUCGCAUGAAGCGGUGUGAAAAACUCUGGUGGUAUACGAUGGUUCCGCGUCUGAUUAGCUAGUUGGUGGGGUAAUGGCCUACCAAGGCAACGAUCAGUAGCCAGCCUGAGAGGGUGAACGGCCACAUUGGGACUGAGACACGGCCCAAACUCCUACGGGAGGCAGCAG
rnacentral:rRNA from 1 species